rnacentral:rRNA from 1 species
GAUGAACGCUGGCGGCGUGCCUAAUACAUGCAAGUCGAGCGAACGGACGAGAAGCUUGCUUUUCUGAUGUUAGCGGCGGACGGGUGAGUAACACGUGGAUAACCUACCUAUAAGACUGGGAUAACUUCGGGAAACCGGAGCUAAUACCGGAUAAUAUUUUGAACCGCAUGGUUCAAAAGUGAAAGACGGUCUUGCUGUCACUUAUAGAUGGAUCCGCGCUGCAUUAGCUAGUUGGUAAGGUAACGGCUUACCAAGGCAACGAUGCAUAGCCGACCUGAGAGGGGGAUCGGCCACACUGGAACUGAGACACGGUCCAGACUCCUACGGGAGGCAGCAGUAGGGAAUCUUCGGCAAUGGGCGAAAGCCUGACGGAGCAACGCCGCGUGAGUGAUGAAGGUCUUCGGAUCGUAAAACUCUGUUAUUAGGAAAGAACAUAUGUGUAAGUAACUGUGCACAUCUUGACGGUACCUAAUCAGAAAGCCACGGCUAACUACGUG